CCUACGGGCGGCAGCAGUGAGGAAUAUUGGACAAUGGGGGCAACCCUGAUCCAGCCAUGCCGCGUGUGUGAAGAAGGCCCUCGGGUUGUAAAGCACUUUCAGUGAGGAAGAACGCCUGGUGGUUAAUACCCAUCAGGAAAGACAUCACUCACAGAAGAAGCACCGGCUAACUCCGUGCCAGCAGCCGCGGUAAUACGGAGGGUGCGAGCGUUAAUCGGAAUUACUGGGCGUAAAGCGCGCGUAGGUGGCUUGAUAAGCCGGUUGUGAAAGCCCCGGGCUCAACCUGGGAACGGCAUCCGGAACUGUCAAGCUAGAGUGCAGGAGAGGAAGGUAGAAUUCCCGGUGUAGCGGUGAAAUGCGUAGAGAUCGGGAGGAAUACCAGUGGCGAAGGCGGCCUUCUGGACUGACACUGACACUGAGGUGCGAAAGCGUGGGUAGCAAACAGGAUUAGAUACCCGAGUAGUC
rnacentral:rRNA from 1 species